UUCCUCUUUGCUCAUUUCGUGUCCACACAACAUGUUCUCAUCUCUUUCUUCCUACCCCUCCCCUUCGCCAUGAGAGAAGAACCACAUAGCUCGGCACGUGCAUUCCUUUUUUUGGGUCCAUCAGCGGCGGCAUGCUCCUCCCCAUGAGAUUAGCGAUGGCGACAAGUGUUGCAACCAACACCCACCGAUGCCGGAGACAACGGAUACAAGUGCGGGAGACCCCGCGGUGGCAUGCAUUCAAGAUGUUGGAGGUACGUCGACAAAAUGCUGGAGAUCUCGGCCAGUUUAUUUUUGCUGCAACCAAGUGUGUGUUUAUUUUGCUGGAACCAACUUCAGAUUUUGGUACCAAGUAUUUGGGUUUUAUUGGAACAAACCAAAAAAUUUGCUACCAUGCUUGUUUCCCUGGUGGAAUCAGUGUAUUUCUUUUGCUACAACUGUCUUCGACUUUUGCUGGUACUAACCAAUUUUUUGCUUCCAUGUACUUUUGUGUUGGAACCAUUGUAUCACUUUUGCUACAAUCGUUUUGAUUUUUUGCUACUACCGCCUUGUUGAUUUGUUACAUCCAUUUUUUCAUGAGGUUACCGAGACCCACAACUAUGUGUUUUUUUGCUACGACCAUUGUCGAUUUUGCUACCAUCGGUGUCAACAUUUGCUGCUUUCACGCCCGUGAAAAUAAGAGCUGCAACCAAAAAUGGCGGCGAGGUGUAGCGUCAGUGCGGGGUGUUUUUCAACCAAGGUGUUGGGGGCGUUGCAAGAUUUGUUGGGGAAGUAGAUCGAGUUUUUUUGCUGCAGCCACAUCCAUGGCGAUGACUACGUUUUUUUGCUGUUAGCAAGUACAACAUCGCUCGGUUGGCCACGGAGGAGAUCUCACCGGAGCUCCUGAGCUACGACCACAAUGGCGAGGGCAUGGAAGCGGCGUGCCAGGGGAGCGUGGGGAUUUCCCUUUUUCUAUUGCGACCUAUGCGGGAAGAAGAUGACUCAAGGGAAAGCCAAAUCUAAUAGUUGUACAUGAAGGAAUCAGACAAUUGAGCGGUGCCUGGCCCAAAUUUGGGCCGGUCGACGGGCGCCUACCACUAGCCAAAGAUGAAUGGACAAAGACUAAUUUUUUUGAACCUAAACACUCAUGAUCUUUUUUCACGCAGGGAGGGGGGAGUGACCCCUGGAGUACACAUAGCUCCACCUCUGAGCUUAUCCAUGUAGAGAGUCUCUGAGCUAGAGUCUAUAGGGAUGUGUUAAGAUGCUGGGCUAUCACAGUUUGGGAUAGGGAUAAUCGUACUUUUGCAUGGAUACCUGUCAUUUGGUUGGUGGGCGAGUAGGAAUAAGGAUGGCCGGAUACUCGUAAUAUUCCCGUAAAACGAGGCUCUACUUGUCCGUGAAAAUCUCAUAGAUUUGGGCAUCCUGAGCGCAUGCACGACGCAAAGGCAGGCCGUGAAACGUUUUCUCGGUUUUAUUUUGUUCACCUCUCAAACAAAAGGACAACCCUAUCUCUUUCCGCUUUCCAUCUCUCUUUUCUCUACCGUGGUGGCUAUAGAUCGAAGCGCGACAAUUGAGAGGUGAGACACGGCGGUAUGGGUCUCUCCUUGCGUUGUUUACUUGUCAUGCCAUCUCUUCUUCCUCUAUUGAUCAUCUAUCGCAUCGGGGUUGCAAUGUUAACCCAGCAUAGGGCAUGGAGGCGGUAGACACAAGUCAAUACCGCGCGCGGCCAUCGGAGCCCUGUGGAUGGAGGCGGUUUCUCUCCGGCAGGGCAUGCGCGAUGUACUUAGCGGGGCGUGGUGUGUGUCGUAUGCGCAUGCAUGAUGUACUCACUAGGCGUGGUGUGUGUGGUCUGUGCAUGCCAUGUUGUGUGUGCGUGGUGUACUGGUGUGUACUACCUCCCCUUGAUUUUUC
rnacentral:lncRNA from 1 species